rnacentral:tRNA from 1 species
CUCUAGCUCAGCGGUCAGAGCAUCCGGCUCAUAACCGGCAGGUCCUUGGUUCAAACCCUAGGAGGCCCACCA